CCCGGCCAGGAAUGGACAGCCUCCAGGACACAGUGGCCCUGGACCAUGGGGGCUGCUGCCCUGCCCUCAGCAGGCUGGUUCCCAGAGGCUUUGGGACUGAGAUGUGGACUCUCUUUGCCCUUUCUGGACCCCUGUUCCUGUUCCAGGUGCUGACUUUUAUGAUCUACAUUGUGAGCACUGUGUUCUGCGGGCACCUGGGCAAGGUGGAGCUGGCAUCGGUGACCCUCGCGGUGGCCUUUGUCAAUGUCUGCGGAGUUUCUGUAGGAGUUGGUUUGUCUUCGGCAUGUGACACCUUGAUGUCUCAGAGCUUCGGCAGCCCCAACAAGAAGCACGUGGGCGUGAUCCUGCAGCGCGGCGCGCUGGUCCUGCUCCUCUGCUGCCUCCCUUGCUGGGCGCUCUUCCUCAACACCCAGCACAUCCUGCUGCUCUUCCGGCAGGACCCGGACGUGUCCAGGUUGACCCAGGACUAUGUAAUGAUUUUCAUUCCAGGACUUCCGGUGAUUUUUCUUUACAAUCUGCUGGCAAAAUAUUUGCAAAAUCAGAAGAUCACCUGGCCCCAAGUCCUCAGUGGUGUGGUGGGCAACUGUGUCAACGGUGUGGCCAACUAUGCCCUGGUUUCUGUGCUGAACCUGGGGGUCAGGGGCUCCGCCUAUGCCAACAUCAUCUCCCAGUUUGCACAGACCGUCUUCCUCCUUCUCUACAUUGUGCUGAAGAAGCUGCACCUGGAGACGUGGGCAGGUUGGUCCAGCCAGUGCCUGCAGGACUGGGGCCCCUUCUUCUCCCUGGCUGUCCCCAGCAUGCUCAUGAUCUGUGUUGAGUGGUGGGCCUAUGAGAUCGGGAGCUUCCUCAUGGGGCUGCUCAGCGUGGUGGAUCUCUCUGCCCAGGCUGUCAUCUACGAGGUGGCCACUGUGACCUACAUGAGACACAGCCAUCAUCUUGCUUAUGCAGCCCAUGUCACUCGGAUUCCCUUGGGGCUCAGCCUCGGGGUCUGUGUCCGAGUGGGGAUGGCUCUGGGAGCUGCGGAUACUGUGCAGGCCAAGCGCUCGGCCGUCUCGGGCGUGCUCAGCAUAGUUGGCAUUUCCCUGGUCCUGGGCACCCUGAUAAGCAUCCUGAAAAAUCAGCUGGGGCAUAUUUUUACCAAUGAUGAAGAUGUCAUUGCCCUGGUGAGCCAGGUCUUGCCGGUUUAUAGUGUCUUUCACGUGUUUGAGGCCAUCUGUUGUGUCUAUGGCGGAGUUCUGAGAGGAACUGGGAAGCAGGCCUUUGGUGCCGCUGUGAAUGCCAUCACAUAUUACAUCAUCGGCCUACCACUGGGCAUCCUUCUGACCUUUGUGGUCAGAAUGAGAAUCAUGGGUAUGUGGUGUGAGGAAGUCGGGAGAGGCCUGGGUGGUCGUCAGACAUUGUUCCCAUCAUCACUUGUCUCCUCCAGGCCUCUGGCUGGGCAUGCUGGCCUGUGUCUUCCUGGCAACUGCUGCCUUUGUUGCUUAUACUGCCCGGCUGGACUGGAAGCUUGCUGCAGAGGAGGCUAAGAAACAUUCUGGCCGGCAGCAGCAGCAGAGAGCAGAGAGCACUGCAACCAGACCUGGGCCUGAGAAAGCAGUCCUAUCUUCAGUGGCUACAGGCAGUUCCCCUGGCAUUACCUUGACAACGUAUUCAAGGUCUGAUUGCCACGUGGACUUCUUCAGGACUCCAGAGGAGGCCCACGCCCUUUCAGCUCCUACCAGCAGACUAUCAGUGAAACAGCUGGUCAUCCGCCGUGGGGCCGCUCUGGGGGCGGCGUCAGCCACACUGAUGGUGGGGCUCACGGUCAGGAUCCUAGCCACCAGGCACUAGCGAAGAAGCUUGGAAAUAGAAAGCCAGGAGUGGCUGUCCCCAGUAUGCAAACACACCACGGUAUGCCCUGCAAAAACACCAAUGGGGUCUAGUGCAGGUGGACACUUUGAACCACUCCUCAAAAAAAGAACUUUGGCUGAUUCCUUGUGGUGACACUCAGAGGGGUCUGAACAGAGCAGACUUGACAAUUCUGUUCUGGUCAAGCUGGAGUUUUCUUCUGUGACUUGGACUGCUCUACAGAAGACAUCAGCUAACUGCACAAGUCAGAGUCCAGGGAUUGUCACUAUUAUUAAUAAUGUAAAUGGCUUCAAAUGGGACACUGCAGAUAAAAUCACAAAAACCACUGUUAUAUUAAAGAUUACACAUUUCCUAGGCA
rnacentral:sRNA from 1 species